rnacentral:rRNA from 1 species
CCUACGGGUGGCAGCAGUGGGGGAUAUUGCACAAUGGGGGAAACCCUGAUGCAGCGAUGCCGCGUGAAUGAAGACGGCCUUCGGGUUGUAAAGUUCUGUCGCAGGGGACGAAAAUGACGGUACCCUGCAAGAAAGCUCCGGCUAACUACGUGCCAGCAGCCGCGGUAAUACGUAGGGAGCAAGCGUUGUCCGGAAUUACUGGGUGAAAAGGGAGCGUAGGCGGGAGGAUAAGUUGAAUGUGAAAUCUAUGGGCUCAACCCAUAGCUGCGUUCAAAACUGUUCUUCUUGAGUGAAGUAGAGGCAGGCGGAAUUCCUAGUGUAGCGGUGAAAUGCGUAGAUAUUAGGAGGAACACCAGUGGCGAAGGCAGCUUACCAAUCUAUAUCUGACGUUGAGGCACGAAAGCGUGGGGAGCAAACAGGAUUAGAUACCCGUGUAGUC